CCUGGAUAGCCCUGAUCUAGGUGAACAAUGUAACGGACCGUUUUGCACAAAAGGGGUAAAAUCCGUUUAGGCGAUCGGCCCCCUUUCCAGAGAUACAGGCACAGCUACUGCAGAACACCAAACACACGAACCGCCAAUAAGUGAAUGCUCCAAACACCCGAACUGCAUACAAGGGAAUGCUCCAAACACCCGAACUACAUACAAGGGAAUGCUCCAAACACC